AAAUUCUAGAAAUUCACAAAAACUUAUAGAAAUUCAGAAACAAUUCUAGAAAUUCAGAAACAAUUCUAGAAAUUCAGAAAAAUUCUAGAAAUUCAGAA
ensembl:ncRNA Y17D7B.12 ncRNA